AGUGAACGCUGGCGGUAGGCCUAACACAUGCAAGUCGAACGGCAGCACAGUAAGAGCUUGCUCUUACGGGUGGCGAGUGGCGGACGGGUGAGGAAUACAUCGGAAUCUACUUUUUCGUGGGGGAUAACGUAGGGAAACCUACGCUAAUACCGCAUACGACCUACGGGUGAAAGCAGUGGAUCUUCGCACCUUGCGCGAUUGAAUGAGCCGAUGUCGGACUAGCUAGUUGGCGGGGUAAAGGCCCACCAAGGCGCCGAUCGGUAGCUGGUCUGAGUGGAUGGUCGGCCGCAUGGGAGCGUGGACACGGUCCAGACUCCUGCGGGAGGCAGCAGAGGGGAAUAUUGGACAAUGGGCGCAAACCUGAUCCAGCCAUACCGCGUGGGUGAAGAAGGCCUUCGGGUUGUAAAGCCCGUUUGUUGGGAAAGAAAAGCAGCAGGUUAAUACCCCGCGGUUCUGACGGUACCCAAAGAAGAAGCACCGGCUAACUUCGUG
rnacentral:rRNA from 1 species